ACAGUACUUUACCUCGUGUGGGCCUUUAUUCCUGAAUCUUGGCUAAACUCUUUAGGUUUAACCUAUUGGCCUCAAAAUAUUGGGCAGUUGCAUUACCUGUCUACCUCCUUAUUGCUAUAGUAAUUGGCUACGUGCUCUUGUUUGGGAUUAACAUGAUGAGUACCUCUCCACUCGACUCCAUCCAUACAAUCACAAUAACUAUGCAAAAAAUCAACAGCAGAAGAAAUACCAAGAGGAGGCCAUUCCAGCCUUAAGAGAUAUUUCUAUUAGUGAAGUAAACCAAAUGUUCUUUCUUGCAGCCAAAGAACUUUACACCAAAAA
rnacentral:lncRNA from 1 species